UUUUCGAAGAGGUAAACCCCGGGUAACCGGGGGACACAAAGCUGCGGGUCCUGUCUGCGGGCAGGACAGCCGGGUUGGCGAA
rnacentral:ncRNA from 1 species